UACGAAGGGUGCAAGCGUUAUUCGGAAUUACUGGGCGUAAAGCGUGCGUAGGCGGUUCGUUAAGUCUGAUGUGAAAGCCCUGGGCUCAACCUGGGAAUGGCAUUGGAAACUGGCGACCUAGAGUGCGGUAGAGGGUAGUGGAAUUCCCGGUGUAGCAGUGAAAUGCGUAGAGAUCGGGAGGAACAUCCGUGGCGAAGGCGACUACCUGGACCAGCACUGACACUGAGGCACGAAAGCGUGGGGAGCAAACAGG
rnacentral:rRNA from 1 species